rnacentral:lncRNA from 1 species
UCCUCUCUCUGUCUUUGUUAGGGUUUCCGCCGCUCUCUUCUUCUUCAGCAGCAGUCGAGAGAUCCAGCAGCGGUGCCCGCCGAUCCGCCUCAUCGCCGGGCAGCAGCGGCUUCUCUAACAGUCGUCGUCGCCUCGCUCCGACGGUGGUUGUCCACCCACCGCCUAACGCCACCGCCACUGAAGGAGCACCAAAUCGCCCGCCUGCAUUCCGCCGGCCUCUUUCUCUCGACAAUCUCCGUAACUGCCGCCUCCGAUCUCUCUCUCUCUCUGGAGGCGGAGGUGAUGCUUGUUGUUACAGAAUUUCGAACCUCUUAAGCAUUUAUCCGAAGGCAGAGGUGAUGCUUGUUGCUACAUGAAAAUAGACUGCGCUGGAGUUGGUAGAUUAUCAGGGGAAUUUGUUGUAUUUGGCUGUCCCCUUUUCGCCGUAUUUCGUUUUUUUUUUUUUUAAUUUAAAUGGCUGGCAUUAAUUUUGAUUUUUACCCUUAGUUGUCUGAAUAGAUAAUGUACAUGUUUCUUUGUUGGUGAAAUAGUCAAGAUUUUGCGAUUCUUGCUUGCUAUUUUUGAUAUUUGAUGGUGAUGUUUAUGUAAUUUUUGAUGAAAUAUGUCGAUAGUUUUACUUAAUUAUUGUAUUGAAAUAUGUCGAUGCAAAACUAGUUUUGCAAUUGG